CUGGCGGCAGGCCUAACACAUGCAAGUCGAGCGCACCUUCGGGUGAGCGGCGGACGGGUUAGUAACGCGUGGGAACAUACCCUUUUCUACGGAAUAGCCUCGGGAAACUGAGAGUAAUACCGUAUAAGCCCUUCGGGGGAAAGAUUUAUCGGGAAAGGAUUGGCCCGCGUUAGAUUAGAUAGUUGGUGGGGUAAUGGCCUACCAAGUCUACGAUCUAUAGCUGGUUUUAGAGGAUGAUCAGCAACACUGGGACUGAGACACGGCCCAGACUCCUACGGGAGGCAGCAGUGGGGAAUCUUAGACAAUGGGCGCAAGCCUGAUCUAGCCAUGCCGCGUGUGUGAUGAAGGUCUUAGGAUCGUAAAGCACUUUCGCCAGGGAUGAUAAUGACAGUACCUGGUAAAGAAACCCCGGCUAACUCCGUGCCAGCAGCCGCGGUAAUACGGGGGGGGUUAGCGUUGUUCGGAAUUACUGGGCGUAAAGCGUACGUAGGCGGAUUGGAAAGUUGGGGGUGAAAUCCCAGGGCUCAACCCUGGAACUGCCUCCAAAACUAUCAGUCUAGAGUUCGAGAGAGGUGAGUGGAAUUCCAAGUGUAGAGGUGAAAUU
rnacentral:rRNA from 1 species